rnacentral:lncRNA from 1 species
CACACAUUGCAAUGCACAAACGUGCCCACAGUACACAAACUCAGCCGUGCAAACACUCAUCCCACUCAACUAAAUGCACCUUAUCAUAUAUAUACAUACACAUACAUACAUAUAUAUACAUAUAUACAUACAUAUAUAUACACAUACAUACAUAUAUACAUAUACAUACAUACAUACAUAUAUACAUAUAUAUAUAUAUACAUGCUCCACAUGACAUCCCCACCACAGAACACACUGGCCCCACAACACAGAGGACUUACGUUAAAAUCCCUAGAAACAAGUCACAACACAUGUGCCAGUCCAGCACGCAAACCUGGCACGUGUACCUGCACGUGCCUGACGAUGUACAGACCCAGUUUCACAGUCCAGACUCCUGCCAGGCUGGAGAAUGGCGUUGCGCCACAUCUUGGCCCACCAUGCACAGUCUAGCCUCGCCCACCACACCUGGGCAUGCUCCACAAUGCACGGCGCUCCCUGCAACACAGCCCCCCAAGGGCAUGGAGUUACAUCACAGGGCAAAGGCCCCCGCACACCUUCCGUUGCGCCCACAGAAUUCUCCAGUAAAUACCAGGGCCCAGAGCUCUCAGAUCCAACCUGGAAGCACAGACUUACCACCCCCCCCAUCUGCAGACCCGCCCCCGAUACAGUGUCUGCCCACAUGACCCACACUCACAGCAGAACAUCCGGGGGCAACUCACCACUCAGAGACCACCCCACCACCCACAGCCAUGCCUUACAACGCACAGACAUGCCUCUCAAAGAAUGGACACAAUGCCAACGCCCAAGCUCGCCCUGCAAUGUACAGGAUAAUAACACAGUGCCAAGAUAUGCUUCACAAAGCCCGGACUACCACACCGUGCACACACUCAUCACGCAACACGGUCAUUCCCCACAAAGCCAAGUACACACCCCCACAAAGCACAGGUAAACCCCUCGAGGCAUAGACCUGCCUCAUGACACGAGACGCGCCCAGCCUCCCACAGACCCUCCUAGCACGCAUGGGUUGGCAUCACAGGGCACACACUCACUCUGUAAAGCUGAUUCGCUCCACAAUAGAUACACUCGCUCCACAGGGAGCACACUAGAACCACAACACCCAGGCUCACUGCAAAGCAUGCUCCCCACCCCGCCAUGUCCUCAGCGCCUGAGGCCCUAUGGUGUGCAGGUAUGCCCCCCGCCCCGCACCUCACAGGCUUGCCCAGCCUCACCAUGCAAUGCUCAGACCUGCUCCCCAGAGCAGACAGAUGGCAGAACACCCCGUCUGCAGCACAAACAUGCCUCAUAACAUACUAAUCCUCUGCAGGGCACGGACUUAGCCCACGAAGCACGCGUUCAUCCCACUCUGUCUGAUCUAAUGCCACACACCCUAGACUUGUCCCCAAACACAAAGGCACAUGCUUGCGUACACAGACAUGUGCCGCGACAUCCAGAAUCACCCCAUGAUGCCCAGAUUCAGUUCACAGGACCCAGAAACACCGAGUCAUUAACGCACAGGCAGAGACGCACAGCACACAGACUUGCCUUGAUAGCACGCAGCGGCUCAAUCGCGCACAGACAGGGCCUACAACAGCCUCAUGCCUCCCAGCACGGCCUCACCUUGCUGGGCCAACGCCCGGCUCACAGAGAAAACAGGAGCAACAAAAUACCUAACCCUGUCCUGCAGCACAAAGACACAACCUGCAAUGCCCAUGUGCACCCCACGACACAGGCUCACCCCGCCAACUGCGAGCUCAUGGCACAGCACACAGGAUUGCAAAAACCCAAUGCGCAGACACGAUGCACAACGCAGAGGCUUCUCAGAAAGUGCAGAGUCAUAUCACAGAGCACUGACAUGCCCCCACAAGGCAGUGUCAAGUCACAAUGGGGAGACAUCUCAUGCCACAAGGCUCUUCCCACAACGCAGAAACAUGCGCCAGCAUGCACGUCUCCCCCUCACCGCAGUCAUCCAUUCUUUACACUUGCUGGACAACGCCAGGACUCUGCCCACUGCUCCUAGACCUGCGCCAGAGAGCACAGACCCACCUCAGAGUGGACAGAUUCCCCAGGCAUUGUGUAGGGUCAACUCAUGACACAUGUGCCACAUAAUACUCAGAGUUGACACAACACACAUCCACACACACACACACACGUCCCUCAGCACAAUGACCAAUCCCCAAACACUUGGGGUCAAGGACAGCUCUCAACCUCCUCUCCUGACAAGGCAGGGAAUAGCAUCACAAGACACAAUUCAUCCCACAAUAGGCAGAACCAUCCCACACUUAACCCAUGGUGCAACGAUGGGCCCAAGCAGCGUACACACCUGCGCAGUGACACUAGAAACACCCUACACUGUUGAGACCUGUUCCAGGUAGAGAUUGCUCUCACGACACACAGGAUUUUACAUCCAAGCACAUGAGCUCACUCUUCAAGAGACAAAUGAGCUCAACACAUAGUUUUGGCCCAUACCACACUAACUCCACAAAUCCCAGGCUUGCACCCAAACACCCAGAUUCAACCCAAAGAGUCUUAAACUCAUAGUACAACACACAGAGCCUAAAGAGAGCUGCCAAAUCACAUUAAAACGUAAAAACAUGCCCCCAUAGAAACAUCCUCAGCGAGUCCACGGUUGCCCUGCAACGGACAGAAAGGAGCAACAGCAGUCCAACUCAGCUCCCAACUUUUUGAGUUGCCCCACCAUGUACAGAGUUGCAUCGUUAUGCACAACUGCAACCAGCAACUCACAGAUCCACCCCGGAGAAGAGACUCAUCUCACCAUACACUUACCGGCAUAGUUCCCAGACUUGCACCAGAUGCUGACACUCAGCCCCCAAUACACGAACCCAUCCUGCACCGCACACAGUGUCACACACAGAUUUACUCUCCCUUAAGAUCAAUUGACAACUCGCCUUGUCCCACGGUGCCCAGACACACGUCAUAAUGUAAAGGCAACAACUACCGCUUAAACAUUCUCCAAACGAUGCCUAAGAUCCAGUACUACCACAGAACUCCCCCUACAGUGGCCACACGCACCCCGCAGCACCCCGAAUUGUGUCAAACACACACUCAUUCCAAAGUUGGCAGCUUCUCCCACAGCUCCUGGAUACAUCCCGCAAUCCACAAAUCUGCCCCCAAAGAUACAGACUCCUCAGAAACACACGGUUUUGCAUAAGAACUUACAAACAUGUCUCAGAACAUACCUUUAUCACGACUGGGCUCCUCCGCCACAUCCCACCACACCCGGCCACAUCCUCAAAUGCACAGACUGGCCCUCUCGGUCUUGUCCAGUAGCUCUACAAAAAUGUGACAAGAAACAGACUGGCCCUACAGUACGUACCCAGUUCUAUACAACUUCCAGAUUGUCCUAGAACGCACAGCGAUUCCUCCUACACGGUGUUAACUCGCAACGCAGAGACUCAUACAGAGCUAAUAACUACCCAACCACCAGCUAUGCCCCCAAACACACAGAACAUGCUCCACAACACGUCUGUGAGCCUCACAACGCCUAGCCUGUCCUUAAUACCCACCUCAGCCUACGAUGUCACACAUGCUCCAUGGCAGGCCUCCCACCCUAGCCCGUGCAGCGGUAUCGCAACGCAGAGAUGUGCCUCGCAUGUAAACGUUCUCCCCAGAAUGCCAACGCUUGCUCUGUAAGGCAUCCAGUAUGACUGUAACACCUAGAUUUGCCUCCAGACUCAGGCUUGCACCACAAUACUCCCCCAGUGCCUCACAAUACCUACCACGAAUGUAGAGUGGACGGACCUGCCCCACAAUGUCCAGACUUAGAAAACCAAGACAUGCCCUAUCGGCCACAGGUUCCACAAAGCAAAAAUCUCCCUGUUGCACAGCCCAACUCUACAUCAUAUAGUCACCCCCCCCCCCCACGGUAGGAACAGACCUCAAAUAUUCAGUCACAAAUUCAGUCUUGCCACACAACACUGACAGGUGUCUUACGACUCACACACGAGUUCCACGAUACCUAGACACAGCUAACUUACAAUGGACAGGUAUACGCUGUGACACAAAGGUUUCUCCCCGAAACACCAGAUUGCAUUCUGAUGCACAGAAUCCCCCCCAAACACACACAUUCACUCCACCAGGCAAACACCCCAGAAAGAAACCGUGUGUCCCCAGCCCCCAGAAUUGCCCCAGGACACACAGACGUGCCCCACAGGAGGAAGACCUACUCCAGAUUGCACAUUCUCCUCACCAGACGUGCUUUGCGACACAACCUUGCCCCGCAAGGCACCCUUGACCCACAACCUAGGCACAGUAUAUAGUGCCCUUAUUCACCCCUGCAACACCUUGACAGAGCCUCCAUGCAAAGAUGUGUCCUGCAGUGUACAAAACACCAGAAAAUGCACAGACACCCCCCCCCGCGCCCCCGGUACCAGAAGGGCCACCUCAGGCUCCAACUUCCUCCCCAAAGCAAAGUCACUUGGAAAUAGCUCCAGCCAAAUCACACCUUGCAAACGCAUCGCAUCUCACGUUCUCCGCACCGUGCACAGACGUGCUCCGCAGCACUCAGACUCACCUACACGCCCCACGACAUCCCACAAAUCGGUACCUGACCCACAAUAUGACGGACAGGCCUCGUGAUGUACACUUGCCCCCCACCACUGAGAGACACCGCGCCUUGUGAUGCACAGACCUGCCUUGCCACGCAAACCCCACGGGACACAUCCUCACCCAGCAUAAGCAUCCCCAGCUCAAGACAUGUUCACGCGCUGCCAUGCCCCGCAGCACAGAAUUACAUCGCACAGCAGGAUGCCUGUAGGCAAACACCCCAGAAAGAAAACGUGUGUCCCCAGCCCCCAGAAUUGCCCCAGGACACAUAGGGAAAUCCCACAGCACAAACGCAAGCUCCCUCAAACGCAGCCUCCGCCCCAUUCUCUUUGAAAUGCCAGAAUACAGCCAACGCCACAUCCAGAAUCAGCCUGUAUCACACGGGCAAUGCGCAGCAUGGACCACAACCUCCAGAAAUACCAUACUAUGUCAAGGCAGAACCCCACCUGAGGGGGCUCCCCUCGUUAACAAACACACAUAGAUUCCCCAUGAGGCACAGAUGUACCCGACAAUGCAAGGACUGGCCCUGUGACACAACAAUUUACGGUCGAAUCUCUAGACUCAACCCAGGACACAUAGUCUCACCCUGUGACUCCAAGAUCUGUCCCAGGGUGUUUGGACUGCAGUUUAGAGAGCACGACACCUGGACGGGCCAGCCCUACAAGGUGAAGACAUGGUCCCCAGUCCGUAGAUUUGCAUGACAGGACAUCUGAAAAAUCACACUCAUAAAAGUCUCAACACUCAGAAGCACUCCCACAAAGCACAGUCCCUCCAAACCAGAUGCUCAGGCCUCGCCGGGCCCGUAAUUCCUAGAGACCACCUGUCAUCCACAAGCUCACCUCACACCCCAUAGCCAGGCCCCCUUACCAUAGAGAAUACCCAGACUUGCUACACAACACCCAGACUUGCUACACAACACUCAGAAGGGCUCACGACAUCAAGAGAGUAUGCGUAUUCUAGAACAUUCAGGUUCACUUCAUGAGAACCCACGCGCUCACGCAGAACGUUCACUUCUUUGCGCCUGUACACUCAUGUGCAAACAUGGAUGAAACAGUUCCUUUUAGGGCCUUGCAAGGAUCAAAUGAGAUAAUUUCAGGAAAGAAUCGAGGUUCAGAACACAGUCUUUGGAGGCAGCUGUAUCCGCUCCCAGUCCCGGCUCCACGACUGGAACCUGAGCAUGUUUGAGAGUAGAAACGGUCAGUGGGAGAGAAGCAGGAAUAAAGGUUUGGGGUCAGUGGGGCCUGGUUCUGAAUUCUGCCUCUGCCACGUAUCGGCCACAUGAUGUUCACAACGCGCUUGAAUUCUCUGACCCCCAGUGUCCUCAUCUGUCAAGUGUGGAUGACACUGGUGCCCGUCUCCGAGGCUACUUGUAAGGAUUAAACACCACCAGGUAUCUUCAUCUGAAUUUCUAGCCGAAGAAAAGCAGUAGCAUGGGGAAGAGGGUCGGAGUAUUGAUUGGAAGCAGAAGGUGGGCUGGAAGCUGUGUGUGGUGUGGGCUGUGGGCAGCCAGGUGGCAGCAUGUGGGCCCAGCCUAGGGCCAGAGGUGAGAAGGAAGACAGGUACAUGCCAGGGCCUCCAACACAAAUGUCCCUGAUGGCAGUGCGAUUUGAAGCUCAAAGCCACACCGCUUUUGGUCUUCAGAUUGGAAAAACUUGUGUUAUCAGACCGUAGUUACCCUCUUCAGUAAUCAACAUUUUCCAAAGGAGGCUGUCUUUUAAUGCUUAUUUUCUUGGCUAUUUCAACAGCAGGGAGAAAAGCUUGAGCCCCUUCUACUGGCUGUACCAUAGACAAGCAGGCGGAGAAAUGAGCAGAUAAGUCUUUCUGGAAGAAAGUGCUCACAUCCACACACACACACACACACACACACACACACAUGCACUCAUAGUGCCACAGGUGUUUACACUGACACAGAACUACGGGUGUAUCAGAAUCCCACAGACCAUACGUUCUUUCAGCCACAGCCAAAGACAUAUGUUUGCGCAAGUAUGAACAUAUAACCAGAGUUCCAGCAAGGACCACCUCAUGUUUAUGCAGAUACACGUAUACAUACACACAGAUGCAUACAAACACCCACAGUUUGGUGUGUAGGCACAAAGCAACAUGCAGUCACAGAUGCACACUCCACACUCGCACAGGCCCAGAGAAGCACGCAGAGACACAUGCAUGCCAACCUAGGCGUCCAGAGGAUGUGUUUACUGAUUCAUAACCUCAAAGAUGCAAGAACACAAAUGCAUGCACACACGCGCACACACACACACACACACACACACACACACACACACACACGGAAAGACGCAUAAAUGCUUCUAGAGGCUCAUGAGGUGUGGACUCAUCCUCAGACACCCCCAGACAUUUAUGGAGAAAUGUAGACAAGUACAUAUGAGCCCACACAGACACAUAGGCAUUUGCAUGUGUGCACACAGAGCCACAGGCAGGUGCAUGGAGUCAUCCGUAUGCAGACACAGGCGUAUGCAUGUUCAUUGCUACGCAGAGACAUAGAGACAUUUAUAAAAAACUGAAAUAUGGAGAUGUAUUCAUAAGGAGACACGUGUGUUUUAAACACGUAUCUGGCAUCUUUAUGCUCAUAGAGUCACAUGAAUUUACACACAGAGGCAAGUUGUUAUUAAAACACACCUGCAUACACAUGGUCCUGCCUGGACCUGCAACCUGGGUGCUCAUGCUGACCAUGAAAACCUAGAAACAUGCCCACAUGCACAUGUAUAGAAAUGUACCUGGGGAAGCACGUGGGGAUAUUCGUGCAUAUGGGUGUGCGUAUGGAACCACACAAGCAUGCCGUGUGCACACAUAGAUGCACUCGUACAUGGAGACAUACACAUGCACACAGACAAAACAGAGAUGGACCCAUGAAGACAUCUCUGCAUGAAUAUGAGCAGACACAUUUAGAGAGAGACGUUUAUAUACAGAGAGAGAUGCCUCCCGUGUAGAUACAGGGGAGAGGAGAGGGAGCGGGGAGACGGAGGUUGGUCGGCUUGGCAGAGACACUUUCUUAUGCAGAAGCUCACACCUACACACAGAGACACACAGGCCUAGAGACCCAUACGAAGAUGUGCACAGGCGAACACAGCUGCACUCACACACUCACUCAGAUGCACGAGAGGAGCAAAGUCACACACACACAUGCAGAAACUCAGGUAUAUUCACGGAGACCCAGGCAAGUGCACAGAGACAGAGAUGUACGUGGAUCCUCACCCAUACGGACUCACAAAGAUACAGACUCAGAAGCUUGUGCAGGUGCCUGCGGGGACAGGUACACAGGUUUGUACACUUACAGACAUUGAGCACGGAUGUACUGAUAGAUGAGGAGACCCACAGACAUACCUGAACAAACGCAGAGGCACACAGGGACCUCCAUGUGCUGCAGGUGCAGCCCUAAAAAGA